rnacentral:lncRNA from 1 species
AAACCCAGGGAGACACCUCUCAGUAAAAAGUAUCUGUCAGAGAUAAAGGUUUGAUACCUGGAGUGAUGGUGGAAAGUGUGAUGGAGCUCCAUAAAAGGACAAAAUCACUGACUGGUUGCAGCCUGAGAUAUUUGUAAUGCACGUAAAGAGAAACACAAGGAAUAGAAAAAGAACACCCAGAG